rnacentral:rRNA from 1 species
GACGAACGCUGGCGGCGUGCUUAACACAUGCAAGUGGAGCGACGAACCAGGCUUCGGCCUGGGGCAGAGCCGCGAACGGGUGAGUAACACGUGGGUAACCUGCCUCGAUGACCGGGACAACCCGGGGAAACCCGGGCUAAUACCGGAUGUGCUGCCUUCACAUCAGUGGAGACAGGAAAGGAAGCUUCGGCCUCCGCAUCGAGAUGGGCCCGCGGCCCAUUAGCUUGUUGGNGAGGUAAUGGCUCACCAAGGCCGCGAUGGGUAGCUGGUCUGAGAGGACGAUCAGCCACACUGGGACUGAGACAC